rnacentral:rRNA from 1 species
GUGUCAGCAGCCGCGGUAAUACGUAGGUGGCAAGCGUUGUCCGGAAUUAUUGGGCGUAAAGGGCUCGCAGGCGGAAUCUUAAGUCUGAUGUGAAAGCCCCGGGCUCAACCGGGGAGGGUCAUUGGAAACUGGGGAACUUGAGUGCAGAAGAGGAGAGUGGAAUUCCACGUGUAGCGGUGAAAUUGCGUAGAGAUGUGGAGGAACACCAGUGGCGAAGGCGACUCUCUGGUCUGUAACUGACGCUGAGGAGCGAAAGCGUGGGGAGCGAACAGGAUUAGAUACCCCGGUAGUCC